UCAGUUAUUUGUAUACAUUGAUGAGAUUCCUCUGAGCCUGUCCAUGACUGGGAUAAAGCAGUGAAGAAGGGCUGAAGAAGGCCCAGCUGCCUAGUCAGCGACUGAGCUGACUUAUCUAUUCAGCAAAAACCUCCGAUGCUGUUUCUGCUACUUUCUAAUGAUUACAACAUUUUUUGAGGCAUGCUUUUUGUCAGCCAAAUGUGUAAAUGUUACAAUUAAUGUCAGUGUAGAUCUUGGAUUUUUGCUGAGGCUUGGACACUGUCCCAUGCAGAGCUUAUCUUGCCUGGGAGGUUUUCAAGAGAUGCUACAAAAAACACCCCCAAAAAGUCAGCGAAUAUUUACUUAGAUAUAUUGGAUCAUAGUCCAGUAUAUUCCUUUAUGCCUUGAGCUAUUUUUUCAAAAUCCAGACUGCACAGUUGUAUCUUAGGCUCGAGUACAGUCCUGAAAAGCAGCCUGUAUGUUGCUGAUAGGUUCUGAUGCGUAUUUUGUAUCUUCCCUGAAAUGAACCCCUAUCUCCCGUUUGCAGAGCUCAUGCAGGGGCUGAGAAAUACAGUUUGCUUCCACACUGACUGCUCUACCUCUCAGAAAACAUUUGGAGGGAGGAGUAUACGUUGCUCACAGGAGCUGUGCUCUCCAGGGUGGGCUGUACCAGCACGCUGCCUGCUUCUCACCUCCCCCACACAGAAGUCAGUUGGAAAAUUUGGGAUUCUGGUGUUCAUGCAGAGUUACGCAAGUCACAGUCAAGCUGUUUAAAUCUCCGUAUGCAGCCCCAGAGGAACAUGACAGUGUUUGGUGCUGAUAAGAUAUGAGUCUGCACUUCUGAGUGCUUGCUCACGAGCAUUCCUACCGUGUCAGAGCAAGUUCUUGCUGAAGAAAAUGCGAAUACCUUACACUCUAUGACAAUGUUGCAAAUCAGAAAUAGUUGCAGUUACCUCACGCUAGUUCCCUCUGAGGCAGAACAAAUCCUAAGCAGAGAAACAGAGCAGAAACUGCACAGCUGAUGGAGUGUGAGGAGAAGAAAUCUGAACAUCAUUGUCUAAGUUUUGUUCCUUCUGGCAAGCUAGAAGAUGUAAAAUAUGAACUGGAGAAAAAGGAGAGGAAGGAAGCAUCACACAUCAUCUAGCUAACGUAUUUUAAACACACUGUUCUUUUGGAAUGGUUUUGGUAGAGUCAUGAAUAACAAAACUGUGCCAUCAUCAGUUUCCAGGAAAUCCUCUUUCCAAUAGUUCUCAAGACAUCAGCCUUUUUGUGCUGCUCAAACAGCUUCUCUCCUGAACAAAUCACAAGGAUUUUAUUUUAAUCCAUGCAUAUUGUUUUAAGUGUAUAACUGAUGGGUUAUUAAAACAGGCAAUAGACCAUUAGCUGUGUGAAAAUUAGCGUGGAUUAAACCAAGCUUGUUCAGGUUCCGUCAGGGGUUCAAACAGCAAUGCAAGACACGUGGCCAAAUGCGCUAACUAACUGCUAGAGCCAAG
ensembl:lncRNA